rnacentral:tRNA from 1 species
GCCUGGGUGGCUCAGUCGGUUGAGCGUCUGACUUCGGCUCGGGUCAUGAUCUCACGGUUCGUGGGUUCAAGCCCCGCGUCGGGCU